AGAGUUUGAUCCUGGCUCAGGAUGAACGCUAGCUACAGGCUUAACACAUGCAAGUCGAGGGGAAACGACAUCGAAAGCUUGCUUUUGAUGGGCGUCGACCGGCGCACGGGUGAGUAACGCGUAUCCAACCUGCCCACCACUUGGGGAUAACCUUGCGAAAGUAAGACUAAUACCCAAUGAUAUCUCUAGAAGACAUCUGAAAGAGAUUAAAGAUUUAUCGGUGAUGGAUGGGGAUGCGUCUGAUUAGCUUGUUGGCGGGGUAACGGCCCACCAAGGCGACGAUCAGUAGGGGUUCUGAGAGGAAGGUCCCCCACAUUGGAACUGAGACACGGUCCAAACUCCUACGGGAGGCAGCAGUGAGGAAUAUUGGUCAAUGGACGAGAGUCUGAACCAGCCAAGUAGCGUGCAGGAUGACGGCCCUAUGGGUUGUAAACUGCUUUUAUAAGGGAAUAAAGUGAGUCUCGUGAGACUUUUUGCAUGUACCUUAUGAAUAAGGACCGGCUAAUUCCGUGCCAGCAGCCGCGGUAAUACGGAAGGUCCGGGCGUUAUCCGGAUUUAUUGGGUUUAAAGGGAGCGUAGGCCGGAGAUUAAGCGUGUUGUGAAAUGUAGACGCUCAACGUCUGCACUGCAGCGCGAACUGGUUUCCUUGAGUACGCACAAAGUGGGCGGAAUUCGUGGUGUAGCGGUGAAAUGCUUAGAUAUCACGAAGAACUCCGAUUGCGAAGGCAGCUCACUGGAGCGCAACUGACGCUGAAGCUCGAAAGUGCGGGUAUCGAACAGGAUUAGAUACCCUGGUAGUCCGCACGGUAAACGAUGGAUGCCCGCUGUUGGUCUGAAUAGGUCAGCGGCCAAGCGAAAGCAUUAAGCAUCCCACCUGGGGAGUACGCCGGCAACGGUGAA
rnacentral:rRNA from 1 species